GCCACCGGCCGCACCACCGGCCAUUAGAGGAUCUUCUCUUGCUCCUCUUGUAUCUAAGCUCGUUUUGAUCGGUGGAGGAAGAUUUGAAGGUGUUUGAGACUGUGAACAGUAGCGUGAACAGUUCCAUCCGAGUCCUUGAGUUUGGCUUGUGUUGGCCGGUGGAGGAAGAUUUGAGGGUGUUUGGAGACGUGAACAGUAGCGUGAACUGUGCUGCCGAAUUCUUGUUAUUUUUUGGGUUUAAAUUCGGCUAUUUCUGCUUGUAUUUGGUGGCUGCUGCAGGUAUAUAAAAAUGGCUGUGACGUAUUGAGCCCUCGAGCGAGGGUGACACGGGCAGGCAGCAGGUUUAGCUGCGGGACUCACUU
rnacentral:lncRNA from 1 species